GACGAACGCUGGCGGCGGGCUUAACACAUGCAAGUCGAACGGAAAGGCCCUGCUUUUGUGGGGUGCUCGAGUGGCGAACGGGUGAGUAACACGUGAGUAACCUGCCCUUGACUUUGGGAUAACUUCAGGAAACUGGGGUUAAUACCGGAUAGGAGCUCCUGCUGCAUGGUGGGGGUUGGAAAGUUUCGGCGGUUGGGGAUGGACUCGCGGCUUAUCAGCUUGUUGGUGGGGUAGUGGCUUACCAAGGCUUUGACGGGUAGCCGGCCUGAGAGGGUGACCGGCCACAUUGGGACUGAGAUACGGCCCAGACUCCUACGGGAGGCAGCAGUGGGGAAUAUUGCACAAUGGGCGGAAGCCUGAUGCAGCAACGCCGCGUGCGGGAUGACGGCCUUCGGGUUGUAAACCGCUUUCGCCUGUGACGAAGCGUGAGUGACGGUAAUGGGUAAAGAAGCACCGGCUAACUACGUG
rnacentral:rRNA from 1 species